rnacentral:rRNA from 1 species
AUACGGAGGGCGCAAGCGUUGCCCGGAAUCACUGGGUGUAAAGGGUGCGUAGGCGGGGCUGUAAGUCAGAGGUGAAAGCCCGCGGCUCAACCGGGGAAUUGCCUCUGAUACUGCAGCUCUUGAGUCCCGGAGAGGCCGCUGGAAUUCCUGGUGUAGCGGUGAAAUGCGUAGAUAUCAGGAGGAACACCGGAGGCGAAGGCGGGCGGCUGGACGGGGACUGACGCUGAGGCACGAAAGCGUGGGGAGCAAACAGGAUUAGAAACCCUAGUAGUCC